rnacentral:snRNA from 1 species
GAGUGCACACAGUUGCAGUGUUAUAGCUGAUGAGGCAACCACAAGGUGGAAUUAUUGCUAGGUGAAAACUUUUCCCAGUACCUCACUGUGGCGGCUUGCAAUAUAGCUGCCACCAGUAAUUUUUGAGGGCCUAUUUAAUUUUUAACUGG